rnacentral:rRNA from 1 species
UACGUAGGGUGCGAGCGUUAAUCGGAAUUACUGGGCGUAAAGCGUGCGCAGGCGGUGAGUUAAGUCUGAUGUUAAAGCCCCGGGCUCAACCUGGGAAUGGCAUUGGAAACUGGCCCGCUGGAGUAUGGCAGAGGGGGGUGGAAUUCCGCGUGUAGCAGUGAAAUGCGUAGAGAUGAGGAGGAACACCGAUGGCGAAGGCAGCCCCCUGGGCCAAUACUGACGCUGAGGCACGAAAGCGUGGGGAGCAAACAGG